CAGCUGCUGAAUGAACAUUGCCAAUGACAGGCAGGUCAUCCCAAGAGCCCUGGUAAUCACAGCACUGUCCAGAACUCCAGUCUGCAGCCAGCCAUCAUACAGGGGAGCAACUCUCCAUGGGGAGAAGGGACUUGCCAUCUUCCACCAUGUGUUGAGAAGCUAGCAGCCCUCUUUUGGUUCCAAAGCACUGUAAGGCUCAGAGGGUGCUUUUUAGGCCACAGGACCAUGGAAUUAAGAAUGCAGCUCCAAUGAUUGUUAACGAGAAUGCACACCUCCUCUGCCACUCUGUUCCCUGCUCUGAGACUAAUUUGUGCUGUGUUAUUGGUGAGGAAGAAAUGCUCAGCUGCUUGCUCCAUGCAGUUCCAGUGUGGGAUAGAGAAUUUCUUCUGCUACAUUUUCUUCUUCACAGGAAAUACAGUAAUUGGUUUUUAAUUCAAUGAAGAUCUCAUGGACAAUCUUUUUUCUUCCUUGAAAAGGAAGAAUCUGCAGCAGAACUAAAUGGCUACAAGCAACCACAAUGAGCUUUCAUUUCCUAGACUCGAAAUAGAGCAACCUAGAAGCGUGACUGAUGAAUUUUAUUAGCUUUCAUUCCAAUGGCAGUCUUUGUCUGUGAUAUG